rnacentral:lncRNA from 1 species
AACGGGCAUAGUACUUUUAACAAAUGCUCUGGACUCCUCUUAAGGAAACUUUCAAUCUGCUCUAAGUUACUCCUCACAAGCACUUCAUGAGAUUCAACUGACAGACUGCAGUGGCAUGAGGGGAGAAGAGGUUUGAGUGCCUGCAAACUGGCUACUAUUACAUAAGAAGGAGUAGUUCUGCUACCUGGCUGCUGAGGAUUCACUGCAAGGAGGCCCCUUCCAAUUAACAUUCUUUUCUAGAUCACCCAGUGUGUAAUGCGAUGAAGAGCAAGUGAACAAGCAUGAAUUAAAUGCUUCAUUAUGAUAUCUAAACUUGGGGAAAGGUAAAACACGCAGCUAUAGAUAAAUAUAUUACAACACCACAGAUACUCUGGGCAUCUACUCACUGUCUACAUUAUAACCGAUUACAACACGAAGGCUUACAAAAUG